UUGUCCGGAAUUACUGGGCGUAAAGGGUGCGUAGGCGGUCUAUUAAGUUGGAUGUGAAAUCCCCGGGCUUAACUUGGGGUCUGCAUCCAAUACUGGGAGACUAGAGUGCAGGAGAGGGAAGCGGAAUUCCUAGUGUAGCGGUGAAAUGCGUAGAUAUUAGGAGGAACACCAGUGGCGAAGGCGGCUUUCUGGACUGUAACUGACGCUGAGGCACGAAAGCGUGGGGAGCAAACAGGAUUAGAUACCCUGGUAGUCCACGCUGUAAACGAUGAAUACUAGGUGUAGGGGGUAUCAACUCCCCCUGUGCCGGAGCAAACGCAAUAAGUAUUCCGCCUGGGGAGUACGGCCGCCAGGUUGAAACUCAAAGGAAUUGACGGGGGCCCGCACAAGCAGCGGAGCAUGUGGUUUAAUUCGAAGC
rnacentral:rRNA from 1 species